CCGGGAUGCUGGCAACAACACUAGCAGCAGUAGUUAAAGCAUUGGAGGAAAUAUAACUAAAUUUCUCCAUUGAGAAACCUCAAAUGGACCCCAAGCCUUCCACAGGAAUGUGGCCUGGUCCUGAGCCUGAUACUUCUCAUGGUGAUUCUUGU